AGCAGUCUGCGCCCAGUGAGUGUUGCACAAGCAGGGCUCCUCCUUUGUACCCUCCCCCGCUCGUAUUCCCGGGUCCGCCUGAGGAAUGUAAACUAUUCAACAUGGAGACAGCAGUCAAUAAGCUGGAGGCUCUGUUUCAAAAAGCUGAGUCUGACUUGGAUUACAUUGAGCAAAAAUUGGAGUUUGAAAUGAGGAAGAGCCUCCCGGAAGGAUCGGCACAGGACAACCCCACCAAAUUGCUGGAACAGUUGGCCAGUGUGAAGUCUCGCUUUAAGAGUUUGUCUUCCCAGCUGGAUAAGAUUGCUGCCGACCAGCAAAAGUCAGUGGAAGAUAUUCAGACAACAAUAGCAAACACGUUGAAAAUGGUGCAGCAUUUACAACAGCAGACAGAUCUUCAGGUACCCCCAUUGUCAGAGGAAGAACUUCGAGCUCUCCAGCAGUUUGAGACUCUAGCGUUGAAGGGCAUGAACCUGAAAUAAACAGGUCCUGCAAGAAGAAGAAAGAAGACGAUAACGGCUGCGCGAUCAAGUGGAUGACAUGAAGAAAUGGAAAAGAUAGCGUGAGACAACAAAACUGUAGCAGAGUAGCUGUCAGCACAAGCUUGGUGACUCCCAAUGAUACAUCUAACUGCAGGACACCCACCUAUUAAUUUCAAAGAAGGAAAAUCCUGCAUAUGUAUAUUUUAUGUUAAAUAGGGAUGAGCGAAUUUCAUAUUUUGACAUUUGUUUUUGGUUCGGGUUGUGGUAUAAUGUGAAUUGAGUUAUGGAUUCCGUUACCAGG